UUGAAGAGUUUGAUCAUGGCUCAGAUUGAACGCUGGCGGCAGGCCUAACACAUGCAAGUCGAGCGGUAGCACAGAGAGCUUGCUCUCGGGUGACGAGCGGCGGACGGGUGAGUAAUGUCUGGGAAACUGCCUGAUGGAGGGGGAUAACUACUGGAAACGGUAGCUAAUACCGCAUAACGUCGCAAGACCAAAGAGGGGGACCUUCGGGCCUCUUGCCAUCAGAUGUGCCCAGAUGGGAUUAGCUAGUAGGUGGGGUAACGGCUCACCUAGGCGACGAUCCCUAGCUGGUCUGAGAGGAUGACCAGCCACACUGGAACUGAGACACGGUCCAGACUCCUACGGGAGGCAGCAGUGGGGAAUAUUGCACAAUGGGCGCAAGCCUGAUGCAGCCAUGCCGCGUGUAUGAAGAAGGCCUUCGGGUUGUAAAGUACUUUCAGCGGGGAGGAAGGCGAUAAGGUUAAUAACCUUGUCGAUUGACGUUACCCGCAGAAGAAGCACCGGCUAACUCCGUGCCAGCAGCCGCGGUAAUACGGAGGGUGCAAGCGUUAAUCGGAAUUACUGGGCGUAAAGCGCACGCAGGCGGUCUGUCAAGUCGGAUGUGAAAUCCCCGGGCUCAACCUGGGAACUGCAUUCGAAACUGGCAGGCUAGAGUCUUGUAGAGGGGGGUAGAAUUCCAGGUGUAGCGGUGAAAUGCGUAGAGAUCUGGAGGAAUACCGGUGGCGAAGGCGGCCCCCUGGACAAAGACUGACGCUCAGGUGCGAAAGCGUGGGGAGCAAACAGGAUUAGAUACCCUGGUAGUCCACGCCGUAAACGAUGUCGACUUGGAGGUUGUGCCCUUGAGGCGUGGCUUCCGGAGCUAACGCGUUAAGUCGACCGCCUGGGGAGUACGGCCGCAAGGUUAAAACUCAAAUGAAUUGACGGGGGCCCGCACAAGCGGUGGAGCAUGUGGUUUAAUUCGAUGCAACGCGAAGAACCUUACCUACUCUUGACAUCCAGAGAACUUAGCAGAGAUGCUUUGGUGCCUUCGGGAACUCUGAGACAGGUGCUGCAUGGCUGUCGUCAGCUCGUGUUGUGAAAUGUUGGGUUAAGUCCCGCAACGAGCGCAACCCUUAUCCUUUGUUGCCAGCGGUCCGGCCGGGAACUCAAAGGAGACUGCCAGUGAUAAACUGGAGGAAGGUGGGGAUGACGUCAAGUCAUCAUGGCCCUUACGAGUAGGGCUACACACGUGCUACAAUGGCGCAUACAAAGAGAAGCGACCUCGCGAGAGCAAGCGGACCUCAUAAAGUGCGUCGUAGUCCGGAUUGGAGUCUGCAACUCGACUCCAUGAAGUCGGAAUCGCUAGUAAUCGUAGAUCAGAAUGCUACGGUGAAUACGUUCCCGGGCCUUGUACACACCGCCCGUCACACCAUGGGAGUGGGUUGCAAAAGAAGUAGGUAGCUUAACCUUCGGGAGGGCGCUUACCACUUUGUGAUUCAUGACUGGGGUGAAGUCGUAACAAGGUAACCGUAGGGGAACCUGCGGUUGGAUCACCUCCUU
rnacentral:rRNA from 1 species